rnacentral:lncRNA from 1 species
CAUAUGCAAACUGACGCAGCUAACAAUAUAUACAUUAGUAUGAAUUUUUCUGCCAGAUAUAUGUCUUCAAUACUAUUUAUAUCAAAGAAUAACUUUUUGAUUAUAAUUGAAUUCCACAAAAAUGAAAUAAACAGACGGAUUUUGAAGAAGCUUUGAAGUGACAGUACUCGAUAUCUUAUAAGAUGUUAUCCCUGGUCACAUCAAUAGUAGUACAUCCCACACUAUAUCACUCGUUAAUUAUAAGCACUACAAAGUACUAUAAUAGUAACACCGGCUUAAAAAAAGUAUUUCCUCCAUCCCAUAAUAUUAGAUGUUAUUACAUCCAUUAUGCUCAUAUAUUGGAUGUAAUAACAUGUUAUAUUAGGGGGCGGAUAGAGAGUGAUAGUAAGACAAUAUGGCAGAUAGUUGGGAUGCAAAAUCUAGGUUAUGCUACAUGUAUACUAAUUUUUUAUAACAUAUAACUCAGGUGAGAUAGACUAAGAUCGCUACUCCGAAUCAUGUGUAAGUUGCAGCCCUUGACAAUUUCGUCUGACCAAGUAACUUGAUCUAUUGUGGCUUUGGUUCUCGGCAGCAAGUAGAUUUUUUCUUUGCGACGAAUGAACUGUUUUGUAAACAAAAAUAGAACUCUGUUACUGAAUAUUGGCUUAAUGUGGAAGAAUAUAAAUUCUGGUGCUUUUAUUGAAAUCACCCUACUAAUGUGGUAGCACAGAAAGUACCUAUACUUUAGCAUCAUGGUUACAAAAGCUUUUGUGCAAAACGAUAAAAGUAGUAGAAGCUACAGAUGUGAACUGUUUGUUCCACAUAGGAAACACUCCCUUCAUUCCUAAAUAUAAGAUCUUCUAGAGAUUUCACUAUGAACUACAUACGAAUAUAUAGACAUAUUUUAAAGGGUAGAUUCACUCAUUUUGCUCCUAUGUAGUCUAUAGUAGAAUCUCUAAAAGUUCUUAUAUUUAGGAACGGGACGAGUAGAAACAUACUCUGUCUGUUUCUAAAUGUAAGUUUUUUAGAGAUUUCAAUACGGACUCCAUAUGAAUGUAUAUAGACGUAUUUUAGAGCGUAGAUUCACUUACUUUGCUCCGUAUGUAGUUCAUAUUGGAAUCUCGAAAAUAAAAAGUCUAAUAGUUAGGAACAGAGGGAGAAUAAUAUUAGAUGAAAGGCAGAAAGCAUGCUGCUCUUUGUCAGACAAACUUCUCGUCUAUGUACAUAACAACAACAUGGAGCUGGAACUGCUACUACAUGGUUAGAAGGCGUUGUACUAAGCAUGCUUUCUACUCCUAAGCUAGAUAUUUAUGUAGUAUACCACCUGCUAAGCUUGUGGUUCGUUGAUCCAUCGGUUUGCUGUACCAAAAGUAGGGAAAGAAAAUUAAUGCAAAAACAUUUGCACAUGCCAACCAUGCUUUAUACUAACCUAGAUAUUUAUGUAGUAUACCACAUUGCUAAGCUUGUGAUUAUUUAAUGGCUUGAACAUUUUCACGUUUAAGAACUGCC